CGUUUCAGCCGCACUUUGACAAAAGCUGCGAAGGCUUGACGAAAAAAACAUACAGCCAUUUAAUAGAACCGACCGGACAUUUCUUUCUUUUCACAAACGUGUUGGCGAACAGUCACAUCAAGCAGUGAAAUGUCUCAUCGUAAAUUUUCAGCGCCCCGUCAUGGAUCCAUGGCCUUCUACCCGAAGAAGCGCUCGCAAAGACAUCGUGGUAAGGUUAAGGCCUUCCCAAAAGACGAUCCCAAGAAGCCUGUUCAUUUGACAUGUUUUGUUGCAUACAAGGCCGGUAUGACCCACAUUGUGCGUGAGGCUGAUCGUCCUGGUUCAAAAAUAAACAAGAAGGAAGUCGUUGAAGCUGUAACCGUUUUGGAAACACCACCAAUGAUUGUCGUUGGUGCUGUUGGUUACAUCGAAACACCAUUCGGUAGCCGUCCAUUGGUAAACGUUUGGGCGCAACAUUUGUCGGAAGAAUGCCGUCGCCGUUUCUACAAGAACUGCUCUUCGAUCUCGUUGAGAGAGCUAUACAAAUGCUAUGUGAGCCCCUUGAUAAGUUUCUUUACUGAAAACUACACAAGUGCGGUUAGCAUGGUUUGAUUGAAAGUCUCCGCUCGUAGAAGAGGCUCUCUUUCUCUUCUGUAUGUUUUAGCAACACUUUCAAUCGAUUCUCAGGUACAAGAGCAAGAAGAAGGCAUUCACCAAGGCCAACAAGAAAUGGUCCGACAAAUUCGGCAAGAAGAGCAUCGAUAACGACUUCAAGAAAAUGGUUCGUUACUGCAAAACCAUCCGCGUUAUUGCCCAUUCCCAGAUCCGUUUGAUCAAGCAACGCCAGAAGAAGGCUCACAUUUUGGAAAUCCAAUUGAACGGUGGCACCAUUGAAGAUAAAGUCAAGUGGGUGAAGGAACACUUGGAGAAGCCAAUUCCGGUGAACCAAGUUUUCGGCCAAGAUGAAAUGAUCGAUUUGGUUGGUGUUACCAAGGGUAAAGGUUUCAAGGGUGUCACUAGCCGUUGGCACACAAAGAAAUUGCCACGUAAGACGCACAAGGGUCUACGUAAAGUUGCUUGUAUUGGAGCAUGGCAUCCGAGUCGUGUAUCGUUCACCGUAGCUCGUGCUGGUCAAAAGGGUUACCAUCAUCGUACCGAAAUUAACAAGAAAAUCUAUCGCAUUGGUGCUGGUAUCCAUACCAAGGAUGGAAAGAUCGUUAAGAACAACGCAUCCACCGAAUACGAUUUGACCGACAAAUCCAUCACACCAAUGGGCGGUUUCCCCCAUUACGGUGAAGUCAACAACGAUUUCGUCAUGUUGAAGGGAUGUUGUAUCGGUUCAAAGAAACGUGUGCUCACACUCCGCAAAUCAUUGUUGGUGCACACCAAACGAUCGGCACUCGAACAGAUCAACCUUAAGUUCAUCGAUACGUCAUCGAAGAUGGGUCAUGGUCGGUUCCAAACCGCUGCCGACAAAUUGGCAUUCAUGGGACCACUCAAGAAGGAUCGUGUCAAGGAAGAACAAGCGCAAGCCGCUGCUGCCGCAGUCAAAACAGCUUAAAUUGUUUGUAUGUCGUGGAAUACUUUCUUUUGAAAAGUAUUUGGGGACGUGAUGUGAUUUAUAUCCAUGUAAUGUACAAAUAAAGAAGACCGUUUUGAGGAUAAAGAAAA